CCUACGGGUGGCAGCAGUGAGGAAUAUUGGUCAAUGGACGAGAGUCUGAACCAGCCAAGUAGCGUGAAGGAUGACUGCCCUAUGGGUUGUAAACUUCUUUUAUAUGGGAAUAAAACGUUCCACGUGUGGGAUUUUGUAUGUACCAUAUGAAUAAGGAUCGGCUAACUCCGUGCCAGCAGCCGCGGUAAUACGGAGGAUCCGAGCGUUAGCCGGAUUUAUUGGGUUUAAAGGGAGCGUAGGUGGAUUGUUAAGUCAGUUGUGAAAGUUUUCGGCUCAACCGUAAAAUUGCAGUUGAAACUGGCAGUCUUGAGUACAGUAGAGGUGGGCGGAAGUCGUGGUGUAGCGGUGAAAUGCUUAGAUAUCACGAAGAACUCCGAUUGCGAAGGCAGUUCACUGGACUGCAACUGACACUGAGGCUCGAAAGUGUGGGUAUCAAACAGGAUUAGAUACCCGUGUAGUC
rnacentral:rRNA from 1 species